rnacentral:rRNA from 1 species
AUUGAACGCUGGCGGCAGGCCUAACACAUGCAAGUCGAGCGGAUGAGUGGAGCUUGCUCCAUGAUACAGCCGCGGACGGGUGAGUAAUGCCUAGGAUUCUGACUGGUAGUGGGGGACAACGCUUCGAAAGGAACGCUAAUAACGCAUACGUCCGACGGGAGAAAGUGGGGGACCUGCGGACCACGACCUAGCAGAGGGACCUAAGUCGGAUUAGCUAGGUGGUGAGGUAAAGGCCGACCAAGGAGACGAUCCGUAACUUGUCUGAGAGGAUGAUCAGUCACACUGGAACAGAGACACGGUCCAGACUCCUACGGGGGGCAGGAGUGGGGAAUAUUGGACAAUGGGCGAAAGCCUGAUCCAGCCAUGCCGCGUGUGUGAAGAAGGUCUUCGGAUUGUAAAGCACUUUAAGUUGGGAGGAAGGGCAGUAAGUUAAUACCUUGCUGUUUUGACGUUACCAACAGAAUAAGCACCGGCUAACUUCGUGCCAGCAGCCGCAGUAAUAC